UACGAAGGGGGCUAGCGUUGCUCGGAAUCACUGGGCGUAAGCGCACGUAGGCGGAUUGCUAAGUCAGGGGUGAAAUCCUGGAGCUCAACUCCAGAACUGCCUUUGAUACUGGCGAUCUCGAGUUCGGGAGAGGUGAGUGGAACUGCGAGUGUAGAGGUGAAAUUCGUAGAUAUUGGGAAGAACACCAGUGGCGAAGGCGGCUCACUGGCC
rnacentral:rRNA from 1 species